GAUGAACGCUAGCGGCAGGCCUAACACAUGCAAGUCGAGGGGUAGAAGGAGCUUGCUCCUUUGAGACCGGCGCACGGGUGCGUAACGCGUAUGCAAUCAACCUUGUACAGGGGAAUAGCCCAGAGAAAUUUGGAUUAAUGCCCCAUAGUAUAUAACCUUCGCAUGUUGGUUAUAUUAAAGUUCCAACGGUACAAGAUGAGCAUGCGUCCCAUUAGUUAGUUGGUAAGGUAACGGCUUACCAAGACGAUGAUGGGUAGGGGUCCUGAGAGGGAGAUCCCCCACACUGGUACUGAGACACGGACCAGACUCCUACGGGAGGCAGCAGUGAGGAAUAUUGGUCAAUGGUCGCAAGACUGAACCAGCCAUGCCGCGUGCAGGAAGACGGUCCUAUGGAUUGUAAACUGCUUUUAUACAGGAAGAAACCCUCCCACGUGUGGGAGCUUGACGGUACUGUAGGAAUAAGGAUCGGCUAACUCCGUG
rnacentral:rRNA from 1 species